UGGGGAAUAUUGCACAAUGGGCGCAAGCCUGAUGCAGCGACGCCGCGUGGGGGAUGACGGCCUUCGGGUUGUAAACUCCUUUCGCUAGGGACGAAGCUUUUUGUGACGGUACCUAGAUAAGAAGCACCGGCUAACUACGUGCCAGCAGCCGCGGUAAUACGUAGGGUGCGAGCGUUGUCCGGAAUUACUGGGCGUAAAGGGCUCGUAGGUGGUUUGUCGCGUCGUCUGUGAAAUUCCGGGGCUUAACUCCGGGCGUGCAGGCGAUACGGGCAUAACUAGAGUACUGUAGGGGUAACUAGAAAUCCUGGUGUAGCGGUGAAAUGCGCAGAUAUCAGGAGGGACACCGAUGGCGAAGGCAGGUUACUGGGCAGUUACUGACGCUGAGGAGCGAAAGCAUGGGUAGCGAACAGG
rnacentral:rRNA from 1 species